GUUGUUAGUAGCGAGCAACAGAGCUAACGCAGUAAACGUCUGGAAAGUUCCACAGCUUCUUCGCUGACUCAGUUUCUACCUGAGUAGCAAGGAUUCAUCAUCUAAACGGGGAACACACGUUUUGUGCUGAAAGAUAUAAACAUCCCAUCAGUCGGCAUCCCAGUGACAGCGGACAUUGUACAGGUCAUGCCAGGGGCCAGUCACAUGCUCGUUUUUAGAGUGACAAGGAAUCGAUCCUAUUCCAGCUGUGUGAACGACGAGGAGCAUCUCUUCAUCCGUGGCUCACUAGUACAACAACAACACAGGAAAUGUGUCCCGUGAAAAACCGUCGGACCGGAACUCUCUAAUAACUAAAGUUCCUUGGGUGAAUAAUGUCAACUCACUACACAGACUUGGUACAGGACAACUUAGACGACUAUUUUUGGACAAAAUGUUGGAGCAGACGGAAGCCAAGAGAGUGAGGAAACGUCCCCGGCCAGCUGGACCAGACAAACAACUGUCCAUCGAGUGAGUCACUUUAAUAUUGACCAUGAUACACGCAGCACGCCAUUCGUGUUAUUCAUACUUGCCAACCUUGAGACCUCUAAUAUCGGG